rnacentral:rRNA from 1 species
UACGGAGGAUGCAAGCGUUAUCCGGAAUGAUUGGGCGUAAAGCGUCCGCAGGUGGCUAUGUAAGUCUGCUGUUAAAGAGCAAAGCUUAACUUUGUAAAAGCAGUGGAAACUACAUAGCUAGAGUGCGUUCGGGGCAGAGGGAAUUCCUGGUGGAGCGGUGAAAUGCGUAGAGAUCCGGAAGAACACCAACGGCGAAGGCAGCCUUCUGGGAAGUACCUGACGCUGAGGGGCGAAAGCUAGGGGAGCGAACGGG